rnacentral:rRNA from 1 species
GUCGUCAGCUCGUGUCGUGAGAUGUUGGGUUAAGUCCCGCAACGAGCGCAACCCUUGCCUUUAGUUGCCAGCAGUUCGGCUGGGCACUCUAAAGGGACUGCCGGUGUUAAACCGGAGGAAGGUGGGGAUGACGUCAAGUCCUCAUGGCCUUUAUGACCAGGGCUACACACGUACUACAAUGGCCGAUACAAAGGGCAGCGACACUGCGAGGUGAAGCCAAUCCCGUAAAAUCGGUCUCAGUCCGGAUUGGAGUCUGCAACUCGACUCCAUGAAGUUGGAAUCGCUAGUAAUCGUGGAUCAGCAUGCCACGGUGAAUACGUUCCCGGGCCUU